UCUCAAGUCCUGAGGUUUUUUGUGACUACACCUUUUUUUCUUCUAGCGUUCAGAGCUCUUUAUCAUUGUCUGCUGAAUAGUUUCCAAGGUACUUAGUUGUAUUUAGAGGAGCAGAGCAGGGAGAAGUGAGUUUAACCAUCUUGUUCCAGAACUGGAAGCCAGCAGAACCUGUCUGAAAAUGUCCUU